rnacentral:rRNA from 1 species
CCUACGGGAGGCAGCAGUGAGGAAUAUUGGUCAAUGGACGAGAGUCUGAACCAGCCAAGUAGCGUGAAGGAUGACUGCCCUAUGGGUUGUAAACUUCUUUUAUAUGGGACUAAAAUGUUCCACGUGUGGGAUUUUGUAUGUACCAUAUGAAUAAGGAUCGGCUAACUCCGUGCCAGCAGCCGCGGUAAUACGGAGGAUCCGAGCGUUAUCCGGAUUUAUUGGGUUUAAAGGGCGCGUAGGUGGUUUGUUAAGUCAGUUGUGAAAGUUUGCGGCUCAACCGUAAAAUUGCAGUUGAAACUGGCAGUCUUGAGUACAGUAGAGGUGGGCGGAAUGCGUGGUGUAGCGGUGAAAUGCUUAGAUAUCACGAAGAACUCCGAUUGCGAAGGCAGUUCACUGGACUGCAACUGACACUGAGGCACGAAAGUGUGGGUAUCAAACAGGAUUAGAUACCCGAGUAGUC